AGAAAGUGGGCAUGAUGAAUCAUGUGGUGCAGCUGCGCAGGCGAGCCUGUGACUGGUUGGUGGCGGGCAAGGUGGGAAGGGAAUAGAGUGCACAGCAGUUCAUCUUCAUCUCUUCUGCAUCCAGCAGACAUCGAAGGUAAUUGCUUGGCAUGCUUGGUCCUGCUUUUCCUUUUUUUAAUAGGCUAGUGGUUCAUGCUUCACCAUGUUCUGGUAGCGCGGCAUUCAUCCUAGCUUGCUAAUCCUUAUGGUAGUGCCGGUAGUUUCUUGCAUUAACUUGAUGGUGGUUGCUUGAAAGAGCAGAAUACAAGAGUUCAUAGGUACAAUAAUUGACAACCAAAAACAAAGGAAAAACUGAGAUGAACUUGAACGCUCCUCUACAAGCUGACCCAGAAAUUAAUUUAGUGUCUUCAUUCAAUAAAUAGCUUCAAUCUUUAGUUCAUAGGUAACAACAUGAGCAGUAAAAUAAUGCAAAGCUACGAAAAGAAAACUCAAUUGUAAAACUCAGUAGUAGCAUAGAGCUCCAAAAUAGGAACACAGGUCCAUGCUCAGUAACUUCACACUCGAGGUAAUCUUUUGUAGGUCAUUGAAGAAAACUGUGCAAAGAUAGUCGGAAAAAAGUACUCCCUCCGUCCCAAAAUUCUUGUCUUAGAUUUGGCUAAAUACGGAUGUAUCAAGUCACGUUUUAGUAUUAGAUACAUCCGUAUCUAGACAUAUCUAAGACAAGAAUUUUGGGACGGAGGGAGUAUCUCUUAAGAGCAUAACCUAACCAUAGGCUAAAGCAAAUUUCAAUUUACUGAAUCAAUAUCUCAUUAGAUAUUUCUGUCUACUAACUAUGUAGCACAAGAACAUCAUAAAUAAUUUUUCACUUGCUAAGCCAACAAACAUUUGUGUCUGCUAAACCACUGGCCUGAGUCGUGGUGCUCCCAUGCAUGGGCCAACCUAGUGAACAUAGUUUGCUACUGGUAAGUGGAACUAUUCUGGCAAAUCAUGGUUAGAUCUGCUGCUAUUCCACGGAAGCCGACUGGAAGUUUUGUGUAUUAAGUUUUAGUUCAAAUGGAGUUAACUGAUUUCUGUUAUAAGAUUUUUUUAGUUCAAUUUCUCUAUCGUUUUCCGCAUUUCGCAUGUGCUUACUGGCACGACACACCCAACCAUGAAAUUAGAUGCUUCCUUAUUAUAAAUAAGGGAUGGACACUGAAUCUGGUGACAAAAGAGGCAUAGAUAGACAGUGACCAUCAAUUCAUCUUCAGAAAAGAUUUUGACUUCCGUGGACUUGUAGAGAUUUUGACUCCCUUUGGCCUAGCUAGUAGGUACAUCUAUCAGCAGUUCAGAGUGAAGCUUAUAUUGCGUUGCUAUGAUCACCACUAUUCUAUUUUCGAGUCAAUGAUAAAUUUGGAUUGCUAAUGUAACUACUCAUGUACUUAAAUUAGAAAUGUGUCUCAUCUAUCAUAACUGAUUAUCACUAUUCGUUAGAAAUAGUACGCAACCUUUCUUUCAACAACUUUUCUUGCACAAGGUGGAUUAUAGGUACUGACCAUCUAAAAUUGUAGCUCAAGCAAAUAAUUAUUUAUGUAUACAAAAGUAAAAUAAAUCAACCACAUACCCUGAAAGAAGUGGCACAUGACAUGAACCAGUGAUUCUGGAUAAAUGAAACGAUGACUUCUCUGCUAGAAAUGGUAGCAUACACAAUACAUGUAUAAUUGCUAGUUAGAGCGUAGUGAACACAGUAACUUCUCACAGGCAAUAGCGAUAAAAAUCAUCCAAGCUAGUCACCUGCUGAUUAAUUGCUUGCACACCUCAUUGCCGCACACAAUGGUCAGUAGCAACAUGCAAACAAUCUUUUGUUCAAGAUCUUGUGAGUCAUGCACUGGCUGCCCAGUAAUGAAAUUCAAAAAUAGCAAAUGCAAAACCUUAUGUGCAGAGGAAUCAACAGCGGCUCACCUUGGCUCCUGUUGAGUGUCGAGGAGGAGAGGUGCUCACAAUGCAACAGUAAUAAUCAUAGUUGUUCAUAUCAGUAGACAAAUACCAUGAUUUUCAUCAUUCCCAGACAUGUACGUCAUUUCCUCAUCCUGUCUCGAAACUGUCAUAUAUCCAUAUCGGUCUUGCAAGAAGUUACUUAUUUUUAGAGAAAUUAACUCCACUACAAAAUUAGGAGAUACAUGGCCAUCUUCCUCAAAAAUAUGAAUAGAACUAAAUUAUGGUUCAAACGUCUACUUCUCCUCAGAUAAUCAGUAACAGUUAUUUAGCAUUAAUUAAGGAUUCGAAUGGUAAAGCAGUAAGAGGAUAGGUAAUAUUGAGGAGGUUGAUUCAACACUUCCCCAGCCAUAAAUUUCAAUGAUGCUUAAUUGGGCUGGCCUCACUGGGAAGAAAGGACAGCUAGCCAACCAGGGGUUUAGCAGGCGUGUUGAGGCUGCGACCCUGUUUGGCUUUGCGGCAGCCUAGGCAUCAUGGAAUCGCCUUCCUCGUGUGUGGAGGCAAGCUAUAAAUUGAUAAGUUAACCAACUGUGUCUAUCCUCCCAUUAAUAUAGCUUGAUUUUAAAUCUACUUCAUCAAUGACACAAUGGUAUGGAAGAUGAUUUCUACAUGUUUUCCUGUGUACUGAUUAUGAACAGAAAAUAGAUAUCCAUCCUCUAAUUAUGUACAUGCCAUGCCAGACAUGAAAUUUAAACUAAGAUGGGGCUGUUAAUCCUUCUAGAUGAUGAGAUACAAGCAUAAGAUUAAAAAAAAUGUACAUAAGCUAAAGAAAGCAUUUAGUGUGUGGCUCAUGGAAAGUGUGCAACGUGUGAACGGGAAACUGCUACAAAAACGAACUGUUGACAAUUUUUUUCACAAGGCAUCUCUCUAAGCACACAGUACUCACCUUAUAUUGUAGUUGGAACGGGGAAUAUGAGGCAAUUAGAAAUUCAGCAAUGCAGAAGCGGCCACCAAUCAAGGGAAAUCUGAAAUUGAUAAGAGUAUCAAAUAUGUAGUUAUGUAUAAAACCAAAAAGGUGCCUUCUGAGAUGUCAACUGAAAGUAACCCACUGACGUUGAGAAGAAUUUAUAUUUUAGAGUUUGAUCUUCACCCAAGAAAAGGGAAAGCUAUUGAUCUGCGUUCAGUUGACUCUGAAUUUUACCAAUUCAAUAUAUGCUCUUCGUUUCAGCUUUGGUAUCUGAUGCUGCACUUCUUUGAUAUAUAUUCAGUUGACUUUCGAAAUUACUUAUACCAGUUUAAAAACAAACAUGUACAUUGCAUCUGAUAAUCACUGAAAGACUACAGUACACCUUCUGUGAGUGCAUGCUGUGCUGAUCUUUCUUUAGGUUGAUCAGUUCACCACAAGAACGAUAUAAAUUUGUUCUUGUUCUAACUACAAAAUUGAGCUUUUUUUUGCGGGGAUUAAUUGAGCUUUUUUUUUGCGGGGAUUACAAAAUUGAGCUGCUUGGAUAGGUGAAAAAUUUAUAAAAAAAAAGGGACAGCAUACUCACAUCCCACAUCAAGCAACAAGCAAGAAAUCAAGAGCUCUCAAGCUGAGCUCCAAAUCGGCAACUUCCGUGCAGUAUUCUUCGACCAGAAGUUCAACCAUAAAUAAACAGAAGGAAGCUUGAUAAAACCUCAUGAAUGGAUGGAACCCUGGCCAUACCUCCUUCUCCACGGAACAGCCGCACAAAUUUCCAUUGCCGCUCCUCUAAGUCCUCUGAUGGGGUUUUGAUAACUAACUCCCUGCUGCUCUGUGGGAGCUUCCAUUUGACCACUACCUCUCUUUGCAAAACGUUGAACGAAUUGUUUCACAAGAUGAUGGUUAUCAGAAAAUUUUAAUUGCUCCUGAGCAAGGUAGAGUCUGGUCUCCGUUUAUUUAGAGGGCCAGCUGAAGCUUCUGUAGAUGCUGUAAGAUUAUAUGUGAUUGCUAGCUGUGUGUGUUGAUCGUUGUGUGAUGUGGAGAAGUACAUUUGUACUUGCAUAUGUUCUAUGAUGAACUUGGAACAUGUCAUAUGUUAGAUACAUGUUGGAAACAAUCACAUGAUGUGUUUUGAAUGUGAAUUACAUUAUGUGCUAUGUUUGCUUGUAAUUUUGUUCUAAUAAUUCUAGUAACAUGGCACUAAUUUUAGGCUUGGUUAAACAUGUUUAGAUCCCCAGUCACACACGGUUUUGGAAGUGUGUGCGAUGGCAUCCCCAGUCGCCAACCUAUCUGAGCACACAAUUUUGAAUUCUGAUUGUGUGUGGCGGACCCUACUUAUUGACAUAGUUUUUGUGUUCUAACUGUGUGUGCGAUUGACCCCUCGUAUCACACACAGAUUUGGGAAGUCUGUGCGAAAAUGGGGUUCUUUAUCUUUCCUAUAUUUAGAAUUAUUAUUAUUAUUGUAAUUUACUUUUAGAUUUGGGUAGUUUCUGCAACUAUUAUAUCUAUUUGCACAAAUACCUUGACGCUUUCCAAUCGUUAAUACAUAAAGCCUGAUAAGCAUGUCUUGGGUUGGUACGCAAAUAGGCCCCCUUAAGCACAUGGUUUCAAAAAUCGUGUGCGAUGGCCUCUGACUGGUGUAACUUUCAAGCGGGUCAUCGCACAUGUGUGUCAAACAGCCCACAUGCUAAACCAUGCUGCACCCAUCGCAUCAGACUCGACGCCUUUACCCGAUGGAACAAACACCAGGCCCCACCACCAAUGCGCAGGGUGGCACACGCAAGGCGAGGACAGCGAGUGGUAGAGGAGGUAGCCCCGGGCUCGCCUUCGACCCACACGACAGGGACCAUUGAGUGGCUGGCUCCGCGGCUUAUUCACUGUUGUCAUUCGUCGGGUUGGAUUGUGCCAGUCACCUCUACUACUCUGUUUGUUGGUUUGGAUUUGGGUUUUGGCCACUUUUUGGUGGGGAGGUUGGUUCUCGGUUUGUUCGGGUCAGAGCCCUGUUUCUCGGGUCGUCCGGUUUGGUGUUACCUUAGUUGACAUGCGGUCAUGUGAUGCUCGUUAAUGGUCUACCGCAACGAUGUAAAAUAAAAGAACGUGAGCAUAGUCAUUGGCAUUGUAUUUUGCAGAUAAACCCAAAAUAGACUCCUUCACAUGGUACAUCUGUUCCUUUGGUUGCAUUUCUUUGUUACAAUUGUUCUUUGCCAAGGGCACAACGGGUCAUCCAGUUGUAAUAAAGACCGGAGCUGUGUUGUAAUACUUAUAUGAUAUGUGAAUAUCUUGGUAUCAUGUGGUGUGCUCCAUCACUGAACUCGAUCUUCCUUCUUGCAAGGCCGAAACCACCUUGGAGUUACCGAAUUCCACCUCUAGCUUUACAUCCGACUGUUGCAGCCAAGUUUAGCCCAAAUCUAACAGUUGUCGCCUGUGUGGUGAAAGCAUGAAAACAGAAGCUCAUCGUCUCAUACUCUCAUUGGUCGCCGCUAUAAACUUCCUGUUAUGAUCACGGCGUGAGUGACAAUCUGAAUUCCCCCCUCUCUUGAUUUUUUUCCUUUCAUUUUUUUGAGGGGUAAACCAAGUUCUUAUUCAUCAAAAAACCACACGGAGUUUUCCAGUUUUAUAAAUGCUGGCGUGAAUAAUUUGAUGGGGCCUAUUGGGCCACAUAGCCCCGAGUUCUCUUGGGCUGCAGCCAUGACAACACUUUGGACCGAUUCUGAAGUAUAGCAAGGCCCGUGUUCCAAUCCUUAUAAAACAAAGUUACUCGUGUAACCCUAAGGCCUUCUCUCUGCCCUGCCUUUGGAAGCGAGGAGCCAAGCAGAUCUCCCCGAGUCGCUCGUUGGUGCAGGUCCCGAUGGCGAGCUCGAGUUCUUUGGAGCAGGAGGUGAAGCUGGUUGAUCCGCAGGUUCAGAAAAACGCACCCGGCGAGUCAGCCGAAAUAUCUGCAGAGUCGAAGGGGCUGAAGAAGAAGAAGAAGAAGAAGAAGAAGAUCUCGCGUCAGGUGGCAGAGUGCGAUGUGAAACGUGUCCUCUCCUACAAACCGGACAGCAUGGAUAUGGAGGUGCCUGAGAUUGCUUUCAGGAAAGACCCUGUGCUGGCUGCGAGCUUGUAUGACAUGUUGGCCGACAUAGCCCUGUUCGACGACUGUGUUAACCAGGAGAUGCUGGAUUUACAGAAAGACUACAGGCAACAGCUGAAAGCCAAGGGCGUAGUAACCUAUGAGGUCGAGGUCGACGAGGACUACGACCAAGAUAAAGACUACGUUCCCUUGCAUCCAGGAGGGCGCAGGAGACAGCGCCCUGGCGUCGUGAAAAAUCAUCAAGGACAGACAAGGAAGCUGAACUAAACGAAACUGCCAUGUUUCAGUUACCACUUCCAAUUCUAUGAUCAUCUGAGAGCCAUGACUUGUCUCCAAUUCCAAUUGUCCUAUUUUUGCAAUUUAAUAUCAACAAGAAAUAUAUUGUCCUUGCCCUUUUUGCCCUGUGGGCUAUGCAAAUCAAAUAGAACCAAUACUCAUUUUGUUUCUUGUA